UGGAGGGCAAGUCUGGUGCCAGCAGCCGCGGUAAUUCCAGCUCCAAUAGCGUAUAUUAAAGUUGUUGCAGUUAAAAAGCUCGUAGUUGAACUUCGGGAUUUGCCCAUUGGUCAGGCUUAACUGUCUGCACUGGUGUGACGAGUUCCUACCUUCUGAGGAAUCUCCAUGUCAUUCAGUUGGUGUGGGGGGAAAUCAGGACUGUUACUUUGAAAAAAUUAGAGUGUUUAAAGCAGGCGUCCGUCUGAAUACAUUAGCAUGGAAUAAUAAAAUAGGACGGUUUGGUUCUAUUUUGUUGGUUUCUAGGAUCACCGUAAUGAUUAAUAGGGAUAGUUGGGGGCAUUAGUAUUCAAUUGUCAGAGGUGAAAUUCUUGGAUUUAUUGAAGACUAACUACUGCGAAAGCAUUUGCCAAGGAUGUUUUCAUUAAUCAAGAACGAAAGUUAGGGGAUCGAAGACGAUCAGAUACCGUCGUAGUCUUAACCAUAAACUAUGCCGACUAGGGAUCGGACGAAGUUAAUUUUUUAAUGACUCGUUCGGCGCCUUACGGGAAAC
rnacentral:rRNA from 1 species